GGAAGAAUAUGACGCCUCUGUGCUACUCCACUUCGCGCCAAGUCGUGGCAAUGAGUCCGGUGGCAAGGCAGGGAGGACGAAAAAUGGGGCAGUCUGAAGAGCCGCGCAGCGCGCGCUAAAAAUUUUGAAACAGAUACCGAUGCGGCUGCGCAGAAUCGCGGUAAGUUGGCCGUAAAAAAAAUUUAUUGGCGACCAGCUUACCGGGCAUCUUGGCGGGCGUGGCGUUAACUGUUUGGAUUGUGAAGCCCAGGGUGAACAACUCAUCAUACGGGCGGCAAAUUUUGCCCUCACAGGUAUGCCCAGCGAACUGGUUGACAUUGAAUUAGGGAUAAGUCAGAUAGAACAUUGGCGAAUUACCUCUGCCAAUCUUGAGGCCGAGAUCCAACUCUUAUAGAACCGCACUCUAAGACUGCGCCAGCCGGCAGCAACGUACCUUAUUAUAUAUGCGAAUUGCCAACAAAAUACGGAGCUGAUCACUCAGAGUCCAUAGACCCCGCCCAUACCCCACAGAUUCCAAUCGUAUUCCGGAAUAGCCUGGGACACCUGAGCUCGAACCGAGUCUGGAUUGUCACGGGCAAAAUGCGAAGACCCCGUGAGCAGCGAAUUUAAUUAACUACCG
rnacentral:rRNA from 1 species